UUGAAUUUGAAUCGGUUCUGAUGCUGGCCCUUCACUGGGCAUGUGCUCGUUCCGUUUUCAUUCUCUCCUCUUGUGCACCAUUUGUAGUCUUUGAAAAGGUGAUACCUCUCGCACUAGUGCGGUUUGGGGGACUUGGGCUCGUUCCCAUUCCCCUGCUUUCGCUUUUUCAAGGGCUAUGUUUUCAUAUACACGUUAAAGUUACAGAAUGUCUAUUUAUCGACCUUUGAGUCAGUAAAUCAAUA
rnacentral:misc_RNA from 1 species